UGCUCAGUGUGGGCAGCGAGUACAAAGGAUGGGUUCCCAGGACUUGUUGCUGGACUAACGGGGGCGCGCAAGGGAGGAGGGGGGUACACCCAAAGUUUGGGGAGCGGUGUACUUGAGGGGUCCCAAAAAUGGGGAACGCUGAGAGCGUAGGGGGAACCCCUGGGACCACCCUACUACCCCUAAAAGUCCCUAUGCCGGAGCCUGGAGAGCUAGAGGAGAGAUUCGCGCUGGUUCUGAGUUCUAUGAACCUUCCUCCUGACAAGGCACGGCUUUUACGACAGUAUGACAAUGAAAAGAAAUGGGACCUCAUCUGUGAUCAAGAACGAUUUCAAGUGAAAAAUCCUCCACACACUUAUAUUCAGAAACUGCAGAGUUUUUUAGACCCUGGAGUCACAAGAAAGAAAUUUAGAAGACGAGUUCAGGAAUCCACAAAGGUUCUGCGUGAGCUGGAAAUAUCUCUACGGACAAAUCACAUUGGGUGGGUGCGUGAGUUUUUGAACAAUGAUAACAAAGGGCUGGACGUUUUGGUGGAGUAUCUCUCCUUCGCCCAGUGCGCUGUUAUGUUUGAUUUUGAGGGCCUGGAAAACGGGGAGGAUGGCUUGGUAGAAAAGUCCAAAUCCUGGAGCAGAUCCAUCGAGGAUCUGCAGCAUCCCAACGCCCUGCCUGCCCCUUUCACCAACGGCCUUGCUCGCUCUGCCCGCCAGUCUGUGCUCCGCAGCUACAAUACAUUACCUGGAAAAAAGGCAUUGAAGAACUCUCGGCUGGUCAGCCAGAAGGACGAUGUCCACGUGUGCAUCAUGUGCCUCAGGGCCAUAAUGAACUAUCAGUAUGGCUUCAACCUGGUCAUGUCUCAUCCUCAUGCCGUGAACGAAAUAGCAUUGAGCUUGAAUAACAAGAAUCCAAGGACCAAAGCUUUGGUACUGGAGCUUCUGGCUGCCGUGUGCUUGGUCCGAGGAGGGCAUGAAAUCAUUCUGUCUGCGUUUGAUAACUUUAAAGAGGUGUGCAAGGAGAAGCAUCGCUUUGAGAAGCUCAUGGAGUAUUUUAGGAAUGAAGACAGCAACAUUGACUUCAUGGUUGCCUGCAUGCAGUUCAUUAACAUAGUUGUCCACUCGGUGGAGGACAUGAACUUCCGCGUUCAUCUGCAGUUUGAGUUUACCAAGCUAGGUCUUGAGGACUUCCUGGAGAAGUCUAAGCAUACAGAGAGUGAGAAGCUGCUGGUGCAGAUCCAAGCUUAUCUGGAUAAUGUGUUUGAUGUUGGGGGUUUGUUGGAGGAUGCUGAGACCAAGAAUGCUGCACUUGAGAAAGUGGAGGAGCUGGAGGAACAUUUAUCACAUAUGACUGAAAAGCUACUGGACUUGGAGAAUGAAAAUAUGAUGCGGGUGGCAGAUCUUGAGAAAACGCUACUACAUAGAGAGAAGGAACUGGAAGCCAUAAAGGAAACUUAUGAGAACACAAAUCAUCAGGUGCACACUUUAAGGAAAAUAAUAAAGGAGAAGGAAGAAGCAUUCCAGCAUCUCCGUCAAUUAGAGCAGGCCGGUGCUCUCAAGCUGCAUAAACAAGGCCCUGUAGGAACAAGUCUCCCACCUCUUAUAUUACCUAGUGGAGACAUUUCCCUGGUUCCAGAGAUUCCACAAGUACCUGUUCCUGUUCCACCUCCACCACCUCCACCGCCACCUCCUCCACCACCACCACCUCCUGCGCCAAGUAAGUGCCCUCCACCACCACCACUGCCAUCUUCUUCGCCGUCUGUUAUUCUUACUACAGGCUUAUCAGCAAUUCGAAUUAAAAAGCCAAUUAAAACCAAAUUCCGCUUGCCAGUGUUUAAUUGGACAGCACUGAAACCCAAUCAAAUCAGUGGUACUGUGUUUAGCGACCUUGAUGACGAGAGAAUAUUGCAGGAUCUGGAUAUGGAUAAGUUUGAGGAAUUGUUUAAGACCAAAGCACAAGGAGCAGCUAUGGACCUGGCAUGUCCCAAGAGUAAAACAUCCCAGAAAUCUGUAAGCAAAGUGACGCUAUUGGAGGCAAACAGAGCCAAGAACCUCGCUAUAACACUAAGGAAAGCUGGAAGGACCUCUGAGGAAAUUUGCAAAGCUAUCCAAACGUUUGAUUUGCGGACGCUGCCUGUAGACUUUGUGGAAUGCCUGGUGCGUUUCCUGCCAACAGACGCAGAAGUGAAGAUGUUCCGGCAGUACGAGAGGGAGCGCAAACCGCUAGAUGACCUGACAGAUGAGGACCGAUUCAUGAUGCACUUUAGUAAAGUAGAGCGUCUCUCUCAGAGGAUGUCUAUAAUGACCUUCCUGGGAAACUUCAACGAGAAUCUACAGUUGCUGACACCGCAACUCAAUGCAGUAAUUGCAGCUUCUGCGUCUGUUAAAUCAUCUCCAAAGUUGAAGCAAAUGCUGGAGAUUAUUUUAGCACUUGGAAACUACAUGAACAGCAGCAAAAGAGGAUCAGUCUAUGGCUUCAAACUCCAAAGCUUAGAUCUGCUCCAGGACACUAAGUCAACAGACCGCAAAAUGACACUUUUAAAUUAUAUUGCAAUGAUUGCUAAGGAGAAAUAUCCCGAAGUAGCCAACUUCUGGACCGAGCUUCACUUUGUGGAAAAGGCAGCUGCAGUGUCGCUAGAAAACGUUCUGUUGGAUGUAAAGGAGCUGGGGAAGGGUAUGGAUCUGAUUCGCAAGGAGAGCAGUCAUCACGAUAGCAUCCUAAAGCAUUUUGUGAGCACAAACGAAGGAAAACUCGACAAGUUACAGAAGGAUGCCAGAACUGCAGAGGAAGCGUAUGCAGCUGUAGUGCUUUUCUUUGGAGAAAAUCCAAAGACAACUCCGCCCUCUGUUUUCUUCCCAGUGUUCGCCCGUUUCAUCAAAUCCUACAAGGAAGCAGACCUAGAAAAUGAAAUGCGUAAAAAGCAGGAGGAGGUCCUACGGGAGAAGUUGCUGGCUCAAGAGGCAAAGAAACUGGACCCGAAGGCCCCAGUGCAGAAAAACAAAAGACAACAGCAAGAUCUUAUAGCAGAACUGCGCAGGCGGCAAGCGAAAGAUCAUCGUCCAGUAUACGAGGGAAAAGAUGGAACUAUAGAAGACAUUAUCACAGUCCUGAAGAGUGUCCCCUUCACAGCCAGAACAGCCAAGCGAGGCUCUCGGUUCUUCUGUGAUACAUCCCUCUUUGAGGAUUCAAACUGUUAAGCCCAAAUGCCUUAAAGUAUGAAAGAUUAGUACCCAUGAAGAUUCAUCUCUAUUUUCCCUUAUCUUGCAGAGGAUCUCCGUAGCCAGCCCUUCAGACGGGCAGAUGCUAAGCUCCGUAAUGCCUGGCGGCGGAUAUAAACUCUAUAGCACUCAAGGACAUACCAAGUUGUUUGCUGCCUUCUUCCGUUGCCUCAUGGGGUUGACUUAAUAUUAUGGACUUGAUGGAUAUCUGCACUCCUCCCUUCCCUUCACGUGAUAAGGGAAAUGAAGAAACCAGGAUGCUUUAGAAAAGUGCCUUAAAUGCUACAGUAUUAUAGAACUAUUUUUCUUUUACUAUUUAUAUAUUUUUUUAAAGUUUUAUGGUUAUAUGUGUAAAUAUUUUGUAAUGUUCUUUGUCCAACCAAUACUUACCGACUGCCAUGGGCUACAUUGGUUGAAAAAAAAAAAAAGUGCCUUGUAAGUGUUUUUAAUACAUUUUUUUUUAAUGUAGGUGGAUGGAAUGAACGUGAUAUAAGAUAGAAAUACUGUGCUGUGAAGGGAAUUUGGUGAUACAGGAGUUUAACCCUGUUUUAGUAAUGCAGUAUGCUGGUUUUAAAGAUGUUAUGACCUGGACUUUUGUCAGUCAUUGAUGUCUGCAAGUUGUGCCAAGUUUUGAAACAGUUAAAUAUUUUUAUAUUUUUCCGGCCAUCCUAAGGUGAGACAAACAAGGUAUUUGUAGAUGUUUAUGUAAAGGUAAAGGAUACCGUUUAAAUUUGAGUUGGUUAUGUGUCCUGCAUUGUCAUCACUUGCAGUUAUGGCUUCUCAAAACAUUUGUGCCAGAGUUUGUUUUAAUUUUUUUUUUAGCAACGGAAGGAAACCGUUUGCUGCUUUCUUGCUCUCAGAGUUUUGGUCUCACUACAAUAUACAAGGAACUACUUUGCACACACAUUUUUUUUUGAAGGCCUCAACAUCCUUGGAAAAAUGGUUUUAAAUAUUUUUUUUUUUUUAUUAUUUUUUUUUAAAAUAGUCCUGUCUUGGUAAAGCUGGCUCACUGCUGCAGCUAAGAGCAUAACAGUUAAAACUUUGUUGGUUGACCAGGAAUCUUAGCAGAUAUCAUAUUUCUUAUUGCAAGAAGCUGAGUAAAUGGAUCACUGCAAUUGUAUCAACACUAUAUUUUAAGACCUGGAAUUUUAGAAUGUUGUCCACUGGAAGGAAUAAGCAGAUAGUUCCCAGUUAUAUGGGAGUUAACUACUUGGAAAGUAUCCUUUGAUCUUGUUCAUUAUCACCAAAUUACCUAAAUAAUAGUGGUAUUUUGAAACAUUUUUAAAGAGAUAAUGGGAAACCAUUUGUUAUGUUAUAUGGACAUUGAAUGUCAGAGGGCUGAUAGCAUUAUUUAGCAGGAAACUUUGAAGAAAGAUUGGCAUAACUGUUAACUGUUUUUAGUGCUCCAGUUUAUCAGGGAGUCCAACUGGAAAGCGAUGCCAAGUUGUUGUGUAGAGUGUUGCACCAAUGGCGAUACUGCGGCUAUCAUUAUAUUGCUGUGGUUAUUGCCAUAAUGUUGCCGCAGCAAUGCUGCUGAAGAAUGAAUGUUUCAAGUGAUAUCAAUGCAGUGAUGGUGGGGCAACAUCUAUUAAUCCUUUACAUGCCUGCAAGUACUCUGUGGCAUGCAAGGGAUUAACCCUAACCCCAAUCACAGACCAUCCGCUGCUCCAUUGUGAUCAGCAUUCUCUCAGAUGGGAUAUUGAAAUACUAAUAUUACCAGUAACUUACCUGAACAGUUGUGAGUGUUUUAUCUUUCAGGGGUGAUUAGGGACCAGAGCCUAUGAAACUGUCUAGAAAGUGAUUUUGAAUUGUUAUCCUUUAUGCACCUACAUGGUCUGUACUGUUGACUGCUGCCUGCAGGAAAGCAGAUCUUUUGGUCUGCUAAUGUGUUCUUGUUAAAUUAUUUGCUGAGUUACGUUUUCAUUACUGGAAAUGACCAUGUGCCUAUCAGCAGCCUGGAUUACCAUUUAUUAUGACAAAUGAACGUUACUUGUAAUGGUUUUCGGGUAAUUGAAUCACAUUAGCAUGCACUCUUCAUAGUAAAAAUCCAUCACAUUUUUGGAAGUGUGGGCUUCUUAGUCAUAACUUUAAUAUUGAAGAAAAUACACUUUUAUUUGGGAUUUAACUCCAAGCUGGAACUAACCUGCAAUAUGCAGAGUAUGUAAAUAUUUACCAAGCUGUGCUAAUGUUUAAAGGAAACUGACACUUUGAAUUCUAGAUUAAAUCUGAUUGAGGGAUUGAACUACAUUAACCUGCCAUUAUUGUUAUAUUUAAGUGGAAAUCACCCCCUUUCUUUCUAUGACCUUAUCUGAUGAUUACUGAUAUAGAUUCACAAUGAAUGUCCAGGAAAGUUAAACUCCAGUUCUGCUAUUGGGUCAUUAAUGAUUGAAAAGCUUCACAAAUCAAACAAUCCGCCACAGUGGAUCCCUAGUAAUUGGAUAGACUUGUUUCACUGGAGAGUUCUUUGAAAACUCAGUGAAUUUAAAUCACUGUCUUUGUUUUCCUAUAUUGUAUUGUUGCACUUGAACACUUGUUUUAUCUCAUCCUUCCAGUGGGGAGGGUCACUUUAAAUAGUCAAAGCUCACAUUUCUAUUUUAACCACAGUAAAUCAUCAAUGAGCUCCUAAAAUUAAAGUGGGAAAGUGGUUUUCAUUGUCCUUUGUUAUAAAAUAAUCUAUUUACAGAGACAGUAAAUUCCAAAUUAAACAUUCAUAGCUUACAUCUGUAUCAAAUAAACCUAUGUGGGCUCAUAGGACCUCAGGAGCGUGCACGUGUCUUUAGCACCUUAUUGCAGCUAUUUUAUACAUUGUUGCAAACACCGCUGCUAAAGAAUGUUAACGAUACAUGCAUGUUCCUGAGCCUACCUAGGUUUACGCUUCAAAAAAGGAUACAAAGAGAAUUUAAAUACAUUCGAUCAUAAGCAUGCUUUUUUUUUUUUUUUUUUACUUUACACUUGUUUUAUUUUUCAAAGUGUGUCAUGAUUCUUGUUUAAUAAAUGUUUUUUUUUGUUUUUUUUUACAUUCAAAUAGGGCAGUAUCAUUUUAAGGUUAGCCACCGAUUUCCAGUGAUUUUGCCUUAUUACUAAUGACCUUCCAUAAUGCCUGAAAAAUACUUGUUUUGUGUGACCAAAAUAUAUUCAGAUGAAGCACCUUGCAACCAAUGUGCACUCCAGCAGUGUAAAUACUGCCUUACCAUUUGUUUCUUUAAUUUUUAAAUAAGCCAAUCAAAGCAGUGACAAAUAAUCUUCCAUUUAUGUUGUGCAGCCAGAACUUCACACUAAUCUUCCAAAUCAAUAUAUUACACUACAAAUGCCCAUUCACUCAGGUGAUCUGAGAUUGCAGCAGCAGUUGCCCCUCUUUAUAAUUUAUGUAACAAGUAAUGAUGUGAUCACUUUUGAUACAGAACAGAAAAUAUUUAAUUUCCAGGCUUUUUUAUUGUAUAUUUUAUUGUAUUGUGCUUUAGAUCUAGUUUAAAUAUAUAUUGUCCCAUAGCUGCUGCUGUAAUUUAUGGCAAAUUAACUUAUUGUCCGUUAAACAGUUAUUUCAUCCUGACAUUUAGGAGGGUCACUGUGCAGUUCCUACUUGCACUUGCGGAAUCAUGUGACUUUUCCAUUUAACUAUUGAUUUUUAUCGACCAAUUAACAUGUAACCAUUCCAUUGUAUUACUUAUGUAUGGAGCUGUAACUUUUGUGCAUGUAAAAUACAUUCCUUCCCUCCUACAAUGCCAGGGAACAGCGUGCUGCAGUGCAUAUCACCCGUAAGCUCAGCAUGGUGAUAUUCUUCCCUGGUCUUGUAGGAGGCAGCAGUGCCUUUACCAAUGUAUUAAUCCUGUACAGUAUGUUAUUUCUACUAUAAAAAGCCAGUAUUUGUUUCCUACAGGUCAUUUUUACUUGCCUAAUUGUCAGGUUUCUAAUUGUGCUCUCUGUUCAUGCUUUUUGUCAACAAUAAACCUGGAGAGAGCUUAA